rnacentral:misc_RNA from 1 species
UUGUCAGAAGCAUUUUUUGAUAUAUCACUGCUGUUGAGCUUCGCAAACAAGGCGCCAAUUUUCCUUGAAUUGUCUUCUAUUUCGCGUUUUCGGGCUGGAUUUGCACGUGAACCUCCCAAAGCUUCUGACGUCUCUUUAAAAAGUCUCGUCAAUGUUAUAAUGACAGGUUUAUGAUGAGCUGCAGCAAAUUAUGCCAAAGCAACUUAUCAGAAACAUUACAUGAAAAACACAGCUGCUGCUCCUGCUACUACUACUACCCCUACCACAAACAUUACUGAGAUCGAAGUUUGGCCUCCAAAAUUAUUUCUCUAGUGUAAAUCAAUAUUACAGUUUUGAAUGCUUCACCAGUUGGUCAUUCACAGUCGCAAGGCAUAUUGACAAAUUCUUGAAAAACAUCAAAGCAUUUUAUUUUGUAGUGUCUGAGCACCUCUCAAACAAUGUAAACAACACACCCACAAUGCUUUUAUUCAUUUAUUUGUGCAAAGUCACAUCAAUUAUGUCCCAACUACAGUACCCAUAGAGCAAUUAAUUACUCAAAGCAUAAACAACAUCAACCAUCAACCAUCAAAAUCGACUUCAAACACUAUCAGAAUACAGCUGUAGCCCUGUAUAACAAAUAAAUCUUUUUCUAAAACUAAGAGUAGAAUCAAAGACAGCUGAAGAAAAAAAAAGUGUGAAUAGAUCAUCAGUGACAAUACAAAUUUUAAUCAACAGAAGAAUUCCAUCAAUAC